rnacentral:tRNA from 1 species
GGCUGUAGCUCAGUGGUAAAGUCCAUGCCUUGCAUGUGUGAGGCACUGGGUUUGAUUCUCAGCACCA